CCGCGUGGAGGACGAAAGCCUAUGGGUCGUAAACUCCUUUUCUCAGAGAAGAAAUUUUGACGGUAUCUGAGGAAUAAGCAUCGGCUAACUCCGUGCCAGCAGCCGCGGUAAGACGGGGGAUGCAAGUGUUAUCCGGAAUAAUUGGGCGUAAAGCGUCUGUAGGUGGUUUGCCAAGUCUGUUGUUAAAAACCAGGGCUCAACCCUGAUCCGGCAACAGAAACUAGUAGGCUUGAGUACGGUAGGGGCAGAGGGAAUUCUCGGUGUAGUGGUGAAAUACGUAGAUAUCGAGAAGAACACCAACAGCGAAAGCACUCUGCUGGGCCGAAACUGACAUUGAGAGACGAAAGCUAGGGGA
rnacentral:rRNA from 1 species